rnacentral:rRNA from 1 species
UACAGAGGGUGCAAGCGUUGUUCGGAAUUACUGGGCGUAAAGCGUGCGUAGUCGGUAUUGAGAGUCACGGGUGAAAUCCCAGGGCUUAACCCUGGAACUGCCUGCGAGACCUCAGUACUAGAGUGUGAGAGGGGAUAGUGGAAUACCAAGUGUAGCGGUGAAAUGCGUAGAUAUCUGGAGGAACACCGGUGGCGAAGGCGGCAUCCUGGACCAAUACUGACGCUGAGGAGCGAAAGCCAGGGGAGCAAACGGG